UCUUUUCUUCUUCCACUCUUCUUUUCUUUCUUCACUCUUCUUUCCUUCCUUCUUUCCUUCUUUCACUCUUCUUUCUUUUUCUUCUUUCCUUUCCUCACUCUUCUUUCCUUUCUUCUUUCCUUCUUCCACUCUUCUUUCCUUUCUUCACUCUUCUUUCCUUUCUUCUUUCCUUCUUCCACUCUUCUUUCCUUCUUCCUCACUUCUUUCCUUCUUUUACUCUUCUUUUUUUUUCUUCCUUUCUUAACUUUUGCAUUUCAUGCACUGGUAUUUCCUUCAGGAAAUGCAUUUUCUAGUUACAGUGCAUGAAAUGCCCUGUAUUGUUAUUCCUAGGCUUCUUAUUCUUCUUCUUCUUCUUCUUAUUAUUCUCUUUACCGAACUUCUGCGCUUAAUUCAGCUCGAACCGCUUAACUUAAAAACUUCGUUCAAACUUUGGCGCGUAGGUCUUGUAAAGGACACUUAUGCUAUGUAUUUUUCAUUUUUCUAAACUUUAUACUUUUUAAAAUAUUAAAGAAAAACUAAUACAAAUUUUCCCAUUCACUUACAUUGGGCCAUUAUGACAUCAUAAUAGGGUCAUUAAACUGGCUUGCAC
ensembl:lncRNA